rnacentral:tRNA from 1 species
GCCCCGGUAGCUUAGCUCGGUUAGAGCGCCGCCUUGGUAAGGCGGAGGUCGCGGGUUCGAAUCCCGCCCGGGGCUCCA